CCUACGGGAGGCAGCAGUAGGGAAUCUUCCACAAUGGGCGAAAGCCUGAUGGAGCAACGCCGCGUGGGUGAAGAAGGUCUUCGGAUCGUAAAACCCUGUUGUUAGAGAAGAAAGUGCGUGAGAGUCACUGUUCACGUUUCGACGGUAUCUACCCAGAAAGCCACGGCUAACUACGUGCCAGCAGCCGCGGUAAUACGUAGGUGGCAAGCGUUAUCCGGAUUUAUUGGGCGUAAAGGGAACGCAGGCGGUCUUUUAAGUCUGAUGUGAAAGCCUUCGGCUUAACCGGAGUAGUGCAUUGGAAACUGGGAGACUUGAGUGCAGAAGAGGAGAGUGGAACUCCAUGUGUAGCGGUGAAAUGCUUAGAUAUAUGGAAGAACACCAGUGGCGAAAGCGGCUCUCUGGUCUGUAACUGACGCUGAGGUUCGAAAGCGUGGGUAGCAAACAGGAUUAGAUACCCUUGUAGUC
rnacentral:rRNA from 1 species